rnacentral:rRNA from 1 species
AACUAACGCUGGCGGCGUGCCUAACACAUGCAAGUCGUACGAGAAAGCCGGCUUCGGCUGGUGAGUAAAGUGGCGCACGGGUGAGUAACGCGUGGAUAAUCUGCCCUUAAGUGUGGAAUAACGUACCGAAAGGUGCGCUAAUACCGCAUAAUGCCUGGCAACACAAGUUGUCCGGCCAAAGAAGGCCUCUGUUUACAAGCUUUCGCUUCAGGAUGAGUCCGCGUACCAUUAGCUUGUUGGUGGGUAAUGGCCUACCAAGGCUGCGAUGGUUAGCUGGUCUGAGAGGAUGAUCAGCCACACUGGAACUGAGACACGGUCCAGACUCCUGCGGGAGGCAGCAGUGAGGAAUAUUGCGCAAUGGGGGCAACCCUGACGCAGCAACGCCGCGUGAGUGAGGAAAGUUUCGGACUGUAAAGCUCUGUCGAGCGGGAAGAGUGUACCAUGGCUAAUAUCCAUGAUAUUUGACGGUACCG